rnacentral:rRNA from 1 species
GUGCCAGCAGCCGCGGUAAUUCCAGCUCCAAUAGCGUAUAUUAAAGUUGUUGUGGUUAAAAAGCUCGUAGUUGAACCUUGGGCCUGGCUGGCCGGUCCGCCUCACCGCGUGCACUGGUCCGGCCGGGCCUUUCCCUCUGUGGAACCCCAUACCCUUCACUGGGCGUGGCGGGGAAACAGGACAUUUACUUUGAAAAAAUUAGAGUGCUCCAGGCAGGCCUAUGCUCGAAUACAUUAGCAUGGAAUAAUAAAAUAGGACGCGCGGUUCUAUUUUGUUGGUUUAUAGGACCGCCGUAAUGAUUAAUAGGGACAGUCGGGGGCAUCAGUAUUCAACUGUCAGAGGUGAAAUUCUUGGAUCAGUUGAAGACUAACUACUGCGAAAGCAUUUGCCAAGGAUGUUUUCAUUAAUCAGGAACGAAAGUUAGGGGAUCGAAGACGAUCAGAUACCGUCGUAGUCUUAACCAUAAACUAUGCCGACUAGGGAUCGGACGGUGUUAUUCAUGACCCGUUCGGCACCUUACGAGAAAUCAAAGUGCUUGGGCUCCAGGGGGAGUAUGGUCGCAAGGCUGAAACUUAAAGAAAUUGACGGAAGGGCACCACCAGGGGUGGAGCCUGCGGCUUAAUUUGACUCAACACGGGGAAACUCACCAGGUCCAGACACAAUAAGGGAUUGACAGAUUGAGAGCUCUUUCUUGAUUUUGUGGGUGGUGGUGCAUGGCCGUUCUUAGUUGGUGGGGUGACUUGUCUGCUUAAUUGCGAUAACGAACGAGACCUUAACCUGCUAAAUAGCCCGCAUUGCUCCGGCAGUGCGCUGGCUUCUUAGAAGGGACUUU